AUUGAACGCUGGCGGCAUGCCUAACACAUGCAAGUCGAACGAGUUGCGGACGGGUGAGUAAUGUCUGGGAAACUGCCUUAUGGAGGGGGCUAACUACUGUAAACUGUAGCUAAUACCGCAUACCAUCAAAUGUGUCCAGAUGGGAUGAGCUAGUUGGUGGGGUAACGGCUCACCAAGGCGACGAGCCCUAGCUGGCCUGAGAGGAUGACCAGCCACACUGGAACUGAGACACGGGCCAGAUUCGUACGGGAGGCAGCAGUGGGGAAUAGUGCACAAUGGGCGCAAGCCUGAUGCAGCCAUGCCGCGUGUAUGAAGAAGGCCUUCGGGUUGUAAAGUACUUUCAGCGGGGAGGCGUUACCCGCAGAAGAAGCACCGGCUAACUACGUGCCAGCAGCCGCGGUAAUUC
rnacentral:rRNA from 1 species